UUAGCGGCGGACGGGUGAGUAACACGUGGAUAACCUACCUAUAAGACUGGGAUAACUUCGGGAAACCGGAGCUAAUACCGGAUAAUAUUUUGAACCGCAUGGUUCAAAAGUGAAAGACGGUCUUGCUGUCACUUAUAGAUGGAUCCGCGCUGCAUUAGCUAGUUGGUAAGGUAACGGCUUACCAAGGCAACGAUGCAUAGCCGACCUGAGAGGGUGAUCGGCCACACUGGAACUGAGACACGGUCCAGACUCCUACGGGAGGCAGCAGUAGGGAAUCUUCCGCAAUGGGCGAAAGCCUGACGGAGCAACGCCGCGUGAGUGAUGAAGGUCUUCGGAUCGUAAAACUCUGUUAUUAGGGAAGAACAUAUGUGUAAGUAACUGUGCACAUCUUGACGGUACCUAAUCAGAAAGCCACGGCUAACUACGUGCCAGCAGCCGCGGUAAUACGUAGGUGGCAAGCGUUAUCCGGAAUUAUUGGGCGUAAAGCGCGCGUAGGCGGUUUUUUAAGUCUGAUGUGAAAGCCCACGGCUCAACCGUGGAGGGUCAUUGGAAACUGGAAAACUUGAGUGCAGAAGAGGAAAGUGGAAUUCCAUGUGUAGCGGUGAAAUGCGCAGAGAUAUGGAGGAACACCAGUGGCGAAGGCGACUUUCUGGUCUGUAACUGACGCUGAUGUGCGAAAGCGUGGGGAUCAAACAGGAUUAGAUACCCUGGUAGUCCACGCCGUAAACGAUGAGUGCUAAGUGUUAGGGGGUUUCCGCCCCUUAGUGCUGCAGCUAACGCAUUAAGCACUCCGCCUGGGGAGUACGACCGCAAGGUUGAAACUCAAAGGAAUUGACGGGGACCCGCACAAGCGGUGGAGCAUGUGGUUUAAUUCGAAGCAACGCGAAGAACCUUACCAAAUCUUGACAUCCUUUGACAACUCUAGAGAUAGAGC
rnacentral:rRNA from 1 species